ensembl:lncRNA LINC00662 long intergenic non-protein coding RNA 662
AUGGGCAGGGCCGAAGGUCCGCGUGUAAAAGUACCCAGUCCCUGGUAACCUGACACUUCCCUUUUAAAAGCCACCUUUUGUCUAUCUCUGGCCUGCCACGAUUCUUCCUGUGCUCCAUAGGAGGACCCAUUGGACCCCCGGGCUGGCUGCAGGGCCCACACCUGGGUUAGACCUCGCACAGGGACGCUGCUGCCACUGUAAUAAAGCGUGCCUACACGCUUCUGAAACUGGUGUAGGAACAACCUCAGUUCUGUGAAAGGCGGACGCAGCAGGACAGAAUCUCCGUGGACAUCUGUCUGGAGGAGCAAUUUUACUGCGACAUUUUAAAGAAACAAAUUUAAUUGAUUUCCAAGGGUGUCCAUCGCGCUUCCUUCACUGCCUUGAUCAUGUCGGGGUCACCACCUGCGGGGGUUUGUCCUGCAGACCCUGACUCAACGACGGAUGAAUAAUGUACACUGACACAGAUCUUAUGCUUGUCAGUCCUGCUGAGCAUCCAGGCCACUUACAGACUCCAAGAAGAGUCCUGUCAGCCACGGCUCUGACUUGUUGGCCCUCCCGGCAUUUAUUUAGCACACAUUUAAUGACAGAAGUCUCAGGUAAACACCACUAGAAGGCUGGAAACACUCUUUUUGUAGAACAUACAAAUGGACAUUUCUAAGCACAUUGAGGCCUAUAAUGAAAAAUCAAAUAUCCCACAAUGAAAACUAGAAGGAAGCUAUCUGUGAUAAUGCUUUGUGGUGUAUGGAUUCAUCUCACUGACUGAAACCUGAGUUUUGAUUCACCAGGUUGGAAACACUCUUUUUGUAGAAUGUAUGAAGAGAUAUUUCUGAGGCCUGUUGUGAAAAACUGAGGUUUCCACAAGAAAAACUGGAAACAAGUUAUCUGAGAAAAUGCUUUAUGAUGGGUGAAUUCAUCUCACAAAAUUAAACCUUCGUUUUGAUUCAAAAGGUUGGAAACACUUUUACUGUAUUAUCUAUGAAGAAACGUUUUUGAGGCCAUUAAGUCCUACACUGAAAAACUGAAUAUACUGCAUUAAACAUUCUAAAGAAGCUAACUGUGAAAAUGCUUUGCAAUGUGUGUAUUUAUCUCACAGAGUUAAACCAUUGUUUUGAUUCAUCAGUUUGGAAACAGUUUCUUUGUAGAAUCUAUGAAGGGACCUUUCAGAGGCCAUUGAGGCCUAUAAUAAAGAAACAAAUAUCCCACAAUAAAACAAGAAACAUAUAGAAA